rnacentral:rRNA from 1 species
UACGAAGGGGGCGAGCGUUGUUCGGAUUUACUGGGCGUAAAGGGCGCGCAGGCGGCUCAUUUUGUCAGGCGUGAAAGCCCCGGGCUUAACCUGGGAACUGCGUUUGAUACGGAUGGGCUAGAGUUCGGGAGAGGAGAGUGGAAUUCCCAGUGUAGAGGUGAAAUUCGUAGAUAUUGGGAAGAACACCGGUGGCGAAGGCGGUGGUCUGGGCCUGAACUGACGCUGAGGAGCGAAAGCCAGGGGAGCAAACGGG